rnacentral:rRNA from 1 species
UACGUAGGGCGCAAGCGUUGUCCGGAAUUAUUGGGCGUAAAGAGCUUGUAGGCGGCCAGUUGCGUCCGCUGUGAAAUCCCGGGGCUUAACCCCGGGCGUGCAGUGGAUACGGGCUGGCUAGAGGCAGGCAGGGGAGAACGGAAUUCCCGGUGUAGCGGUGAAAUGCGCAGAUAUCAGGAGGAACACCUAUAGCGAAGGCAGCUCGCUGGGACGACACUGACGCUGAGACGCGAAAGCGUGGGGAGCGAACAGG